UACGUAGGUUCCGAGCGUUGUCCGGAUUUAUUGGGCGUAAAGCGAGCGCAGGUGGUUUAUUAAGUCUGGUGUAAGAGGCAGUGGCUCAACCAUUGUAUGCAUUGGAAACUGGUAGACUUGAGUGCAGGAGAGGAGAGUGGAAUUCCAUGUGUAGCGGUGAAAUGCGUAGAUAUAUGGAGGAACACCGGUGGCGAAAGCGGCUCUCUGGCCUGUAACUGACACUGAGGCUCGAAAGCGUGGGGAGCAAACAGG
rnacentral:rRNA from 1 species